AUAUUUCUGCCGAGGAUUGUGGGUCAUAUCACCAACGAAACUGGCAACCACUUCAUUCUAUGGGUUCUGGAUUUCUCCAAAAAAGAAAUCCGAAUCUAUGACUCCCUGAAGACCUGGACCGGGAUAUGCGAGGAUGAUAUGGAUCUUCUGAAAAAUGUCUUUCGGAAGAAGGGUGGGCUGCAGGAUUGGAGAGUGCGAUACCCUGUCCAGUGGCCUCAAAAGGAC